rnacentral:misc_RNA from 1 species
GAUGAAGAACGUAGCGAAAUGCGAUACUUGGUGUGAAUUGCAGAAUCCCGUGAACCAUCGAGUCUUUGAACGCAAGUUGCGCCCGAGGCCUCCUGGUCGAGGGCACGUCUGCCUGGGUGUCACGCAUCGUCGCCCCCUCUCCCCUCGGCUCGCGAGGGCGGGGGCGGAUACUGGUCUCCCGCGCGCUCCCGCUCGCGGUUGGCCCAAAAUCGAGUCCUCGGCGACGGUCGCCACGACGAGCGGUGGUUGAGAGCCCCUCGGACACGGUCGUGCGCGCGCCUGUCGCCCCCGGGAUCUCCUGGACCCUCGGGCAUCGAAAUUCUAGGAUGCUCUCGUUGCGACCCCAGGUCAGGCGGGACUACCCGCUGAGUUUAAGCAUAUCAAUAAGCGGAGGA